UUCGGCACCAAACGGAACGCUACCUUAUCCCCCAGUACUCUCUCGGUCUCUCCUCUCCUCUCCACUCACUCAACCUCUCUCGCUCCCGGUCUCCCCUCCCUCCCCCCGGCGCAUCCGCCGCGCGCGUCGAUGAGCUCCUGCCGCAACCGUGCGACUCCGACCAUCGACCACCGCAUUUGUUGCAUGCAUCGGCAGUUGCCGCGCGACGAAGAUCGCCGCUGGUCCCGCAACAGCCUCGGCUGGAGGAGGACGAUAGGUCCAUGGCGAAGGACGCUCAAGUAAGAGGAGCGGCCCCAAUGGUGGCGGCCUCGAGCACCGGGAUAAGUGUAGGCUGGGGAUGCAGGAGAGGUGCAGCGCGGGGCUCGGGGCUCCGCCGAGCUGGGUGCGGCGCGCCGCGACGACGGACGCAGGGACUCAUUGAUCCGGGCGCUGGUGCUCAAUCCGGUCCCGUUCCGGCCGGAUCCGCGGCGGUGCUCAUCUCCGGCGAGGUGGCCGGUGACUCGCGGGCCGACGGCGGCGCAAGACCACGGGAGGAGCUCAUCUCACGCGAGGUCCUGUUGGCUUCGGUUGCCGGUGGCUUACGCAGGGGUGGCGGGGGUCCAGCAUCAUGGAGGCUCUUCGAGGGUGAGGAAGCAGACGGCGACGAUAACUUUGAGGCCGGCGGGGGCACCGUCUCCGCGUUCAAUGGUCGUGGUGAACGUCGUGGGCUCCAACGCGGCCGCCGUUGGCUCUAUCCCCUACCGGGCAUUACUCAAGUGAGCUGAUGAAGUAAGAGGAAUCCAGAGGCGUGGGAUUUGCACUGUGUAUCAUUUUAAGCAUGGUUGGCCGCAUCGUUGGCUCCUCUUGAAAGCACAUGUACUACUUGCACCAAGAGCAAGAAUUUAACAGUAGAAAAGCCGUAUCAACUAUAUGUAUGCCCCAAUGAGAUCAACAACAAAAAAUUAUGCUCGCAAUUACCUGGCACGGGCACUGGAGUCAUUUGGGAAGGAUGCUCAAGAUUAGGAAUGUCACCAAGAGGGGCUCGGCUAGAGUUAUCACCAAGAGGGGAUCGGCACAGAUUUGUCGCCUCCAUAUCUUCAAGCGUCAUGGUCUGUCGGCGCUUGUAACGAAAUAAAAUAAACCAUUAUUAUUUCUGUGAACUGUACACAUUAAAUAUAUACUGGGCCAAAAUCUAACUUUGAAGCAUGCGAUCAGGUUAGGCGAGAUAAUCUACAUCUGCACUAUUAGAUUAGUACAUUGUCAUACUUUGCUUCAAUGAAAAACACAGCAUCAGUGAUACAACUUUGUUUCACUAAUUGAUCAGUACAUAUGUUUUUCAACCAUUAGGUUUUUGACCAGGUAUAUUUGUCUUGAAUGGAAGGACAAACACAAAGAACCAUUACAUCAAGAAGCUAUCAAGCUUGAGGGUCUCACAUAUUUUCACGACGCUUUCUGAAGUGUAAGUUACUAAGUUGAAAUCUGUUCUCUCAGCACUAUUUUAUCAUGUAUGAUAUUUUUAUUCUUUCUUUCCCAGAACUUAUCUCUUUCCUUGUGUUGGAAAUGAUAUUUUAUAUGGUUACUUGACGGUAUGAGCCAGAGCUAUUUCCUAGUCUGAUUUCUCCUGGGUGUACUCUGCUUUCUGAUGUCUGAUUUGAUGACAAGAAUAUUGUGUCGACGGUCAGCGCCUGGAUUGUAAAUUGGACUUGAAAGCAAAUAGCUCUCUAGGCACGUAAUGCAGAUUAUAACCCCAAGGUAAAAUCAUUAACCUAAUGCAUUCUUCAUGAUGUUGGCUUUUUCCCCUUACUGGGCCUGUGAUGCUAUAUUUCCAAAAACAUCCAAAUUUUAUCACUUUGGUAGCAUCCACAUGGCUUUGUGAAUCCUGCUGUGUAGAUGGUGGAUAGCCUGGUAAAAGAGUAGAGACUUUGUACAUGGGCUCUUUUGUGUACGUACCCUUCUGAAUUUGUGCUCAUUCGCUGAGAAAUUAGAGAACAACAACUUACUAAAUAGUUUUUGAUCGAAUGGUGACUUGAGACUCUCUACCUGACUACCUUUUAGGCUUUAGCAUGACGGUAAAGGUAAUUCAAACAUGUAAACGGUCAACUAAUAAUAUGAAGGUUUUUUUUUGCGGGUAAUAAUAUGAAGGGUUAUACCACAGAAAAGUCAUUAUACCUGGAAGCUGACAAUCAAGCAAUAACCUUAGGGAUUAUACAACUAAAGCAUGCGUGACAUCCACCUAAACAAAAUUUAGACAUGUACAUUGCACACACAACCAAUUGCUGCAGGUCAAAUGUGAUGUGAAGACGUGACUGCAAAGUUAAUGUGUAUGACCGCAAGAAACAAGACCAUAAUGUAUAUAACAAUAAUAAUAAAACAAAAUGUGAAAUACAAACCAUCAAUGCAUCCACAGACGAAAAGAAAUAUGAAUAGCUUACUCACCCCCAUCGCUAUUGGCGUCGAUUUGUUUUAAUUUAAUUUUUGGGCUCCUUGUUUCCUGCAUCCCACCGUAAUUCUGUUUAGAUGUAUAUAUGCAUGCACGCAGCACCAAGCAUUUGCAUCAAUAUGUUUCAGAUGAUGAUUGUGCACAUGCAUACCUCGUUGGGAUAAAUCUACCCGUGGUACGCCACAGCAGCUGGAGGUUGGUCUGGCUCGCAGGGCCAUCCGCUUGUGCAGGUCGGCUCAGCGUUGGCCUUGUGCCCCACGCGAUCCCGGGUCCUGAGCGACCCGAGCAGCCUGAAGCAGCCCAGGUAAUUGGCUUUGGCUCCGUCAAGCGUUCACCUCAGCGCGCCGACGUCGCCGUCCCGCCUCUGUCGACCAAGUUGUAUUGUCACCUUGGCGCAUCGCCUCGGCUAGACCGAAGGCUUCGACAUCACUUUAGCGACCUACUCCGAGGGCUUCGGCGUCACUCUGCUGACCUGCUACGUCACCUCGGCUAGACUAGUGGCUUCGCUUUGACACAUAGGUAGUGUUGUGAUGUCGCUUCAUCAAGCCGAGCUCUUCGCUCGGGCAUAUCAGGACCGACUUGGGGGCUGGGACCUCGACCCGCUACAAGCUCGGACCAUGUCAUCAACAUCGAGCACAUUAAGCAGCUAAGUCGCUUUUGUGCUCAAAUUUUUAAAAUUUAUUUAUUUUGGUUCAACCAAGCAUUACAUUUGUGUUAAACAAAAGGUUGCUUGUUAAAAAGUUAGUUGUUAAAAAUGAUGUUUGUUAAAACACUUUGUUUCCCAUGUUAACUGGGGCUCUUAAAUUUAUAUGAGUCGUUUUAUAAUAAAUGUGUUUUCUUCUU